rnacentral:rRNA from 1 species
ACUAAGCGUACACGGUGGAUGCCCUGGCAGUCAGAGGCGAUGAAGGACGUGCUAAUCUGCGAUAAGCGUCGGUAAGGUGAUAUGAACCGUUAUAACCGGCGAUUUCCGAAUGGGGAAACCCAGUGUGUUUCGACACACUAUCAUUAACUGAAUCCAUAGGUUAAUGAGGCGAACCGGGGGAACUGAAACAUCUAAGUACCCCGAGGAAAAGAAAUCAACCGAGAUUCCCCCAGUAGCGGCGAGCGAACGGGGAGCAGCCCAGAGCCUGAAUCAGUGUGUGUGUUAGUGGAAGCGUCUGGAAAGGCGCGCGAUACAGGGUGACAGCCCCGUACACAAAAAUGCACAUGCUGUGAGCUCGAUGAGUAGGGCGGGACACGUGGUAUCCUGUCUGAAUAUGGGGGGACCAUCCUCCAAGGCUAAAUACUCCUGACUGACCGAUAGUGAACCAGUACCGUGAGGGAAAGGCGAAAAGAACCCCGGCGAGGGGAGUGAAAAAGAACCUGAAACCGUGUACGUACAAGCAGUGGGAGCACGCUUAGGCGUGUGACUGCGUACCUUUUGUAUAAUGGGUCAGCGACUUAUAUUCUGUAGCAAGGUUAACCGAAUAGGGGAGCCGAAGGGAAACCGAGUCUUAACUGGGCGUUAAGUUGCAGGGUAUAGACCCGAAACCCGGUGAUCUAGCCAUGGGCAGGUUGAAGGUUGGGUAACACUAACUGGAGGACCGAACCGACUAAUGUUGAAAAAUUAGCGGAUGACUUGUGGCUGGGGGUGAAAGGCCAAUCAAACCGGGAGAUAGCUGGUUCUCCCCGAAAGCU